rnacentral:tRNA from 1 species
GGGCCUGUGGUCUAUUGGUAUGACGCCACCUUGACAUGGUGGAGACAGGGAGUUCGAUUCUCCUCAGGCCCA